UUGCUGAAGGCUCCAAGAACUGAACCUCAGCGUGGGAAAGAGCCAAAUCUGGGGCUAAUUCUCCAGGUCCAGAAGAGUUCAACUCCAUGAGUCCCGCCGCUCCUAACAGAUAAAUGAAGACUGAGACACAGUAGAAGAGAGCAGCUUUCCCCGUGCUUUCCAGAAUGCCCUGAUGACAUGUGGAAACGACAGGCUGUGUGCAGAGAGCGGUUCCUGGAGGAGUGAUCCGUCUACCUGAACCUGCCUGGGAAUUAGCCAUGGAGUACAGAAGGAUUGCGUUUACAGUGUGAAUUAUGAGCUUAUACCUCAAUCACCCAAAUAAAUCUGCUUAAAGAUG